AAACAUAACAAGCUGUUUAUUUGAAUGUAAUGACUUGUUUAUAGUUUAAAAAAAACAGUUACAAACAGGUAGGGCUUCAAAUAAAACAAUGCAUGAUCUAUUUGUAGUAAUAAUAGUAUAAGUACAGAAACAUCACGAGAUAUUUGACUGAACGUCACAGGUCUACUGUAUCACGCGAGUGCACCCUCAUUUCUGAAGACUACAGCGGCAAGCACACAGAUGCACACACACAACUACCAAAGCAGCUCGGGAUAUAUCUCUAGGUAGAGUGAGCGCCUAGUUAUCUGUCAGGCGCUCCCGUCAAUCCAGGGGCAGGAAACUUUAGUUGACCAAAUGUUCACCAGGGUCAAUGACAACGGGAUAACGUUUACUAUUGAGAAGAGGGGAGACAACAAAAAGUAUCUGGACUACAGCUUGGUUGAACUAUUUACCUUUGAAUUGUCAAAUGUAUCUUUUUAAAAAUAAAUGCUUAUUUUAGACACUGUUUAACACUAAUUUUCGAGAUGUUAAAGUCAUAGAUGGUACCAGCUACUCCACUGUUUUCAACAUUCCUCCAUAGCCGAGCUGGACAGGGGAUUGGGUUUAUGGCACAUUGGCACUAUAUAAUGCCGUAUAGAACACAUCUGAGCUAUUUUCAGUAUGUAUUAUAUUACAUUUUGUAUUCUAUAAACUUAGUCAAUAUGAAUACAAUUGAAAUCUAGAAGACUCUCCAGUAACAUUUUAGCUACUUGAUGUACAGUUAUUUAAAAAAACAACAACUAUUUUUGGAAACAAUUACAUGAAGUAUAUAUACAUUGCCUAAAGUUCAAUCCAAUACUAAAGAAAAAAAGGGGGGGGG